UGCGUAGGCGGUUCGGUAAGUCUUAUGUGAAAUCUUCAGGCUCAACUUGAAGUCUGCAUGAGAAACUGCCGGGCUUGAGUGUGGGAGAGGUGAGUGGAAUUUCCGGUGUAGCGGUGAAAUGCGUAGAUAUCGGAAGGAACACAUGUGGCGAAAGCGGCUCACUGGACCAUAACUGACGCUGAUGCACGAAAGCUAGGGGAGCAAACAGGAUUAGAUACCCUGGUAGUCCUAGCCCUAAACGAUGAUCGCUUGGUGUGACGGGUACCCAAUCCCGCCGUGCCGAAGCUAACGCGUUAAGCGAUCCGCCUGGGGAGUACGGUCGCAAGGCUGAA
rnacentral:rRNA from 1 species